rnacentral:lncRNA from 1 species
GUUGGGCCUCCUUGAAGGGGAAAAAUCUUCAACAGGAACCAGGCCACUGAGAGAUGGAAGAAAGGACAGCUCAUACCCAAACCUCACGAGGAGGCUACAGGAAUCACUGGACAGUUCCUUUAUUGGGAAAGCCCCCAGUGACUUUCCAAUGAAAUGGAUAGAGAAGGGAAAAGAGACCCUUCGGAAUCAGAUGAGUCCAUGAACUGGCAGCAGUCAGGGCAGUGAUGACAUCACAGAAGGAGGAUGGGCCUUAGACAGACAUCACUCUUUAGAAUCCCUGCAACUUUGAGCAAGUUCGUGAAUCUCACUAAGGCUCAGUUUCCUCCAUAAAAUUAAUCAAUAUCAGGGCCUCUGCAUUGGACAACUCCAGAGGGCACCAUUGGGGUUAUACCUUGUGUUUGCCUAACCUUCAUUGCAGUGGGCAGGUGCAUGCUUUCUACAAUGUCCUAAGGUCUAAAGGGGUAGAGUUCUGUGUGUGGCAUUUUAGGCCUGGAAAGGAUGAGAGUCUACAAAACCAGAGAAAUACUGCAGAGAUCCCAGACCACCACCCAUGAUCCCAGGCUGGAGGAAGCAGCAGGCUAGCGGAAUUCAGGACCAAUGAGCCAGGAAAGAGGACCCAAUGCAGAGCUCACAUCCCACCCUCCUUCCCCCAUGACAAAGCACUGGCAAACCCUGCCAAAGAAGAAGCUUGGCUGCAAAGCAGUCUGGAACUGGACCCGGGAUAGAUUCACCAGGAGCUCACCACCACAGGGAAUGCUGCACUUUGACUGGACAGAAUGCAUCCUCCAUGCCCACAGAGCAUGUGCCCAGGAUGAAUCUCACUGUAUCCCAGUUCCUCAUGCUUGGCCCCAAACCUCUUUUUCACAGUAAUAAAGAAAACACACUUUACAAAAAGG